rnacentral:lncRNA from 1 species
ACAAUUAUAAAAACACUACCGUCUCUAUAAAAAAUCUUGAAGUUCAGUUGGGUCAGAUAGCACAACAAAUAGCAAGCUCUCGAACACCAGGUUCCUUACCAAGUGAAACAUUUCAAAAUCCAAAAAAUCAUGAGAAUGUUAAUACUGUCCCGACGAAAAGGGAGAGGGACGCUAAAGAUGAAAAACUCAUACCACCUGGCAAGCCAACUGAAGAGAAAAAUA